rnacentral:lncRNA from 1 species
CAAUCACUAUCUUCUUAAAAUCUUUCUUAGUGAAAGCAUUUCCUCACAAUCAUUUUCAUGAAGGAGGAAAUCUUAUGACACUUAGAUUUAAACGGUGUAUGUGUUCCUAUCCAUGUGAAUUUGUUAAAACCAAAGUUUACGACAAAUUCAAACUCAUAUGGAUCGAACUUUCUUAAUCUCGAUUUCUUGCCUUAUGGUAGCACAACUGCCCACCAUGUCUUCCAAGUAGUUAAGCAGCUCACCUUUUCUUAUCAAUGUACUUUCCAUUGAUCAAGGUCCUUGCCUUUUAUGCAUUCAAAUGAGAACUCAUAGGACUCACAUGCAUAAUUAACUCAAUUGGAACGGCACAGAAACAAAAUAAUGUCAACACGAUAGGUUGUAAACCUCAACUCGUGUGCUAGUGAUGAUCGAUAAGGUUUAUUUUUGAUUUGUUCUUGAAACCUUUCAAGACCAUUAAGACUCCCACUGACUCCUUGACAUAUAAGAUUCUCUUGUCAAUAACCAUUUCUUGACAAACAAAUAUUCAAGAGUUAGUGUAGCUUUUAUCAAAACACUUCAUAAAUUGGUCCUAGUUGGUCUUUGUCUUAUCCAAGACAUCACAACUUUCCACAUUUGAUGAAUGUUAUAAACCUUCUUAAUAUAUUUUUUUCACUCAAUGUCACAAUCUUAACUUUAAGACUUGUUUUGGAACGAAGAAUGAUUGACUUCUUGAUUUAACCAUUUCUUCAAUUUUUGAUUCCUCUACUUAGACAUACAAUUGUACUAAGAUUCACUUAGAGGAUCAAUUGAGAUAUGGUUCUUAAUCAUUAAGACCUAUCAUAAAGCAUAAAAGGUACUCUCCUUUCUUCUUAGAAUGCAGAACCUUUUAUCUUUCUGUGUACUUGAUUUUUCUUAUUCGUUCUGCCAUUGAUUUAAACCUUAUAAUCAAUUCCGAAUUACACUUAAUCUUAUAAGCAUAAUCAUAUUCACUAAACCUUUAGUAAAUCAUGACGAAUAUCUUUGUUACUCUUAUGGUGAACUUGAUCAACACACAACUUUGUGUGCUCGAUCUCCUAGUCCUUCACUUGACACUUUGUCAACGAAUUAGUCUAAUUUCCAAAUAUGAAAUUUCUCAUUCAUCAUGCAACCAAGUUGCGUGAUUCCAAAUUUCUGUCCAGUUAAAAUUUGGGCGAUGAGAAACUCUCCCUAUUUGGUAAAUUCUUGACAUUUCCAUAAGAAUCAUAUCCAUUUGUUGUAGAAAUAUGUAAAGAUCAAUUUUCAUAACGAUUUCAUUGCAAGGAAAUAAACAAAUAAAUAAAUAAGUCAAACAAAAUUUAUUUUAUUUAUAAAAACAGCGGAAAACAUUUGUCCUUACAAUGCAAAACCCGUUGAAAACUAUGUAGUCAAAUAUUCCUAAUAAUUCUAUCUUAAAUAUCUAAGCUCAAAAUCUAAUGUUCAAGUCCAUGUGAUCGAGAUCCAUUUCUUUGUGAUUAGACUCAUGUUGCUUUUUAAUCAAGCUUCCUUUCUUUUCACCGAUUCUGCAAAACAUUCAAAUGCAAUCUUAUCACAUCAUGUAUUAAGAAUCAAUGAAUAGGAACUUAAUGGAGUUAGAUAGAGGGUUUUUACCUGAAGCACAACCAUACUCUUUGACUCUCCCAUCUUUGGAAUCUUCAGGCUCUUGGGGCAGACUUCUAUCCAACGCCCUUUCUCUUGGCAGCAAACGCAGGUCACUUCUCCUAGAUCGUCCUUGGAAGCAUGGUCGGUUGACUCGCCCAACAAAUACGCUCCAUUGCUUCGAAAAAUCAUUUCUGAUUCAGCAGCAAUGAGCAUGUAAGUUAGGUCAAUGAGGUUAUCGUCAUGAUCCAUCAUAUAAUACUUUAUUUUGAACUCAUUAUAUGAUUCAGGGAGUGACUGCAGAACCCAGUUCGCAGCCAACUCAUCGGGAAAUGACACACCCAACAUAAUCAACCUAUCGAUGUGUGAUUUCAUUCUUAGAAUGUGGGCACACACGGAUUUACCAUCUUCAUGUUUCAUUUUCAAUAGGGCCUCAGUGAUAUUGAACCUUUCAAUUUUUCGAUCUUGUGGGUUAGGGAGAAUAAUUGGAGGAGGUGGAGGAAGAGAAGCAUGAUCUCUUGUUCCUCGAUAGAAUCGCGGAUUAUCAUCUUCAUGUGGAAUGCUUGUUCCACGGGAUUUGGGAAGACCAUAGUUGUUGAACUUUGACAUCUACAAUACGGGAGAAAACAAAUUCAAGUUAGUUGAUUGAUUGAGUCCUUAGUAAAUCACCCAAAUGAGAUACUAAGGCUAGGACCCAACACAAUAUUCUACAACUCGGGAGAGGGAUGCCGUAACCCUAAUUGCAGAAUAUUUGAAGGUAAGUGAAUGACGAUUCACUAAUUUCCACCAUGAAAAACGAAAAAGAAAUUUAAGUUUUAAAUCUAUGAAAACUCCUAGAUCCUUUGAGAUUCAUUGAACUUUCAAUGGCAUGUUUAAAUCUCGAUAUGCCCCUCUUGUUUGUGACUGGGAUGCCGAGGAUCACAAAGCGGGUGUGAAUAACCAUGCAAACUUACAUGGUGCCCUCACAUGUUACAGUCACCUAUUCGAUGUGCCGGUAAACCACACACGCUCCACCGAACUAUGACAAACAUUGAGUCACCCUUUGCUACCUUUGCUUAGAACCAUUUAGUGUGCCGGUAAACCACACACACUCCACUAACGUCUUCGCAAGGGCACAAAGUGUAAUUUCAUUGAAUUGCAUCAAUUCACUUUUGCCUAAGUAACUAAGAUUGGGAAUUUGUAAAACAUUUAGUUACUUUUGUACUUCAUUAUACUUAUAAUGGAAGGUUUUGUUCUAUGCUACCCGUUCGGCUAACGACCCUGCACUAGUCAAGAGUGCGGUAGGUAAGAGUGGAUACUCAUUCAAUCACCAUUUUAUAGGCAAUUUCCUUAAACACCCCUUAUAGACCAGCUUCGUGAAUGAGGCCUACUAACGGUAAGACUGACUUUUACUCAUACAUAUAUAUAAUGUUAGACUUUUAAUGUUAUAUAUAGUAUAGGGUGUAUUUUACACUUUUAAAAUACUAGGUGGUCAAAUUUAACAAUUAUACUUUUAAUUCAAUUAAAUUGUAAACCAAAACUUUUAUGGAUUUAUUAAACCUCUUUUAAUUAUACACCUUAAUUAAUUAAUAAAACCAUAAGGGUGUGAUUUGAACUUUUCAAAACAAUACUAGGGUUUUAGAAUUUAACAUUCCUAAAUUAAACUUUUAAUCAACUUUUAAAUUCCAAAACUUGAGGGCAAGUUUUGAAACAUUUCAAAACAUUAGGGUUUAGAAUUUAAAUAUACAUCAAAAUUAAACUAUUAAUCAAAAUUUAAAUUCCAAAACUUGAGGGCAAGUUUUGAAACCUUUUUCAAAACAUUAGGGUUUCAACUAUUUAAAUUUCAAAACAACAAAACUUUUGGGUUCAAAUUUAAACUAUAAAACCUAAAGGGGAAAAUAUGAAACAUUUCAUAACAACAGGAUCAAAUAACAAAUAAUCUAAAUUAACAUUUAAUCACAUAAUUAUCCAUAUUUGAUUUAUUUAAUGAUUUCUUGCAAAACAAUUUAUCAAUUUAGUCAAAAUAAUUAAUCAAUUAUCACAUAAGGAAACAAAUAUCUUAUUAAUUGAUAAAUAUCUUCAAUUAGAUCAAGAAUAUAGUCAAAUAUAUCAUAAAAUCGGAUUUAUAUUGAUCUAAUAUGAUAAGGUAACUAUCCUUAAGCAAAAACAGCAAGAAAUCCCGGUUUUCCCUCCUUCUGACCAGCCGACUCGCCGAGUCAGGCAUGGACUCGUCGAGUCAGCAUGGACUCGGCGAGUUCAUCUAUGGACUCGGCGAGUUCAGCAAGCAGAACCACAAAAAACGAAUUUUUUCAACAUACAAGGCAUCAAUACAAUAGAAACCAAUCUAGGCUCUGAUACCACUGAUGGGUUUUGGUCAUAAGAACAUCCUAUGUGCUCAUACAAACCCUAAUGCUUGGAUCUAGGUUUCUCUAUUGUACAUGCAAGUUAUCCAAGACUAUAAACCCUAAUUCUAGCAUACAAGUAAUCAUAUUAACAUAAGAAUGGGUUUAAGAUAUUACCUUGAUUGUUAUGUAGCAAUAACAAUCCCAAAUCUCCUUGUAUUGACUUUAGAAAGCUUAGAGUCACAAAUGUCACUCCUCUAAUGGUUCACAAACACCAUAAGCAAGAGGAUGAAGAGGAGAGAGGAUGGAGGCUGCCCAAAAACGUGUGAAACCCUAGAAGAAAGCUUAGCCACGUUUUUGGUCCUUAAGGGGUCUAUAUAUAGUGAGGCUAUUAGGGUUAUCUAACAAGGAAACCCUAAUUUGGAUGCUUAAGCCCUAAGCAACCCAUGGACUCCUUUCCUUAAGGCCUUGGACGAUUUCAUAUGGGCUUCCCCCAUAGAAUUCGUCCACCUUAUAAUAAAAGGCAAUCCAUGGCCCAAAUUGCAAUUAUCUUAUAAUUACAAUUCCAGUCCCUUAAGUUUAAUUAAUCUCUUUUAGUCACAAAACUAAUUACCAAUUAAUUAUUGACUAAUAUUAAUUAAACAAUAUGAUUUCUCCUUUAAUAUAUUAUUCUCAUAAUAUAUUAAUAAAUCAUAUUUAAUCCUUUCUCUCCAUAAUUCAUCCUAUCAAGUUGCUUUGGUGAAGGCAACCCAAAAGGACCAUGCACCAUCGGGUCAAGUACAUACCAAAAUAGUUAUGGACUUAGACACUAAUCCAACAGUCUCCCACUUGGAUAAGUCUAAUAACUAUUAUGCGUAUGACUUCAGAUCCUGAUCUGCAAUCGUAGCUUUCCAAAGCCGCUGUCAACUCUGAUCCUAUCAGAUACGCGUGUCCUUAGAUAAGGGAUCAUAUAUUCCUCCAUUCUAGAUAUCAUAUGAGAUAUGAUUUCAAAUCAUUCUCUUUGUACUAUAUCUCGAUUCCCGAUUUAUGACGACUGACUAAUUGAACAAAUCAAAUUAGCCCUAGCCCGGCCGAGCAUUUACGUUUGUCAUCACUAAAUCAUCGAGGGGCCCAAAGAUAUCGCUUUUAUCCUACUUUGGAUAAAAGGAACGGAUAAACUUUGAUACAAUGCUUGCUUGCACUCACUCACCGAAUCACACACAACAAUAUGUUUUAUAACACCAAGUUACUAGUGCGUUUACAUAUUAUCAAUGUGCAACCGAUUUGCAAGAUACAACUCACACAUCUCGGUUUCAAGAAUAUAAGAUGUUAUCGUCUCACCAAUCACUCGUGAUACAAUUCAUGGAGUGAUCCAAGUGAGCGUGGGUUUAAUCCAAUGCUCAAAUCAUAUUCAUAAGCACUCAUGAACGUUGCAGCAAACAUUUGCUUAUGUCUAAUACUCUUUAGACAAUCCACACACCAAUUCACGACAGUCUUCAUUCAUACCUACUUCCAACAUAUGAACGACUGUGGCCCGUUCGAAUAAUUUGACUGUUCUUAACCAAUUAAAUUAUUCAGGAAGUCAAAACAUGCAAAGUGAAACACAAGAAUAAUACUAAUCCCAUAUGGCCUCAAACCUUUGAGUAUAAAUAAAACACCUUUUAUUUAUCACCAUAUCGAUUACUCAUUAUUUGUCGUUUCGGGUAAUCAACUUCUUACUUGAAUUAUUACACUUGUCCCAUGCUCCUAGCAUGCACACAAUGUUUACCUAUGGUUCUUACUUUGUGAAAUAGAUCAAAUUGAACACAUUUCCAAUCAUUCUCAUUUCACAACUCCAAAUCCUUUUUCAUAAGUGAAAGAAUAUCAAAUUCUUGCUACUUAUAGAAUAUGCUAGAUUCUAACAUUUUAUGCAAUGAUCUUUUCGUAAUGUCACUGCACCAAAGUCACAAAGACUAUUGCCAAUGAUAUUACAAAGUCCUCUAUCGGAGAUUGUUACAAGACAAUUCCUUAGAUAUGAUGUCUCUCACUCAAAGUACAUUCCUUUGAACAUCCUUUUGCAUAAAAGUUUCUAAUCUAGACAUAGAUUUUCAAUAUUCAAUUCCCAAUAUGGACACGUUUCCAUAUUUUCCAUAUGACAACUCAUUCUUAAUAGAAUCUUAUCUAUUCAUAAUAAUGUCGAUAUGGUCCAUCCAAUAUGGAAACAUUUCCAUAUUUUCCAAUACUAUACUUCCAACUACUCACAAGCGACCAAUCCUCGUCGAACUUUGGAUUGUCCUUUGAUAGUUGUUUAAUUAUUUUAGUCAAAACCGAUUCUAGUCCUUUUUCCCUCUAAAUGCGCUAGACAUUUGGAAAAUUUUAGAAUGGUCAAACAUUAAAGCAUUUGCAAUCGAUCCUAUACCCGAAGCGUAUGGGACACGACGCAUAAUGUUUUAUUUGCUAUGUUCUCAAAAUUCGAAUUGUGAAGAGGAAUGCCGUAAUCAUAAUCGAAAUUUUAAGAACACACUAUGUACCUUUGACUAAAUUUAUUAACAUUUCUCAACCUAAUCCUUUAGAUUUGAAAUGAAGCAUAAUAUUCUCUCCCUUAAUUAUAGCAAAACAACUUUUCAACUCUUACAACUUUGCAAAGUAUGACUCUUGUUUUCUAUAAUUAAUAUUGCUAACCUUGCAAUACUUUCCUUAAUAAUCAUACAAUCAUAACAUUUAUGCUCCCACUAUCAUGAUGAUUAUUAUAAAACAUAACACUUAUGCUCCCACUAGCUUCGACAUGUAUUCAUAAACAUCUUAACUUUCAGAAAACAAUACUUAUUGAAUUUCUUAAGUUCAUGUUUCUAAUACUUAGUGCUUUGAUAAUCCUUUAUCAAUGCUUCUUGAACUUAUACACCUUUGCCUUCGAUAGUUCAUAUGUGUGUCUAAACAAUUAAGACUAAUUGCCAAACCUCACAAUUCAAAUUAUGGAAAGGGAUGCCGUAACCAUAAUUGAAUUCGAGAAUGCAAUUUUACAAUCACUAUCUUCUUAAAAUCUUUCUUAGUGAAAGCAUUUCCUCACAAUCAUUUUCAUGAAGGAGGAAAUCUUAUGACACUUAGAUUUAAACGGUGUAUGUGUUCCUAUCCAUGUGAAUUUGUUAAAACCAAAGUUUACGACAAAUUCAAACUCAUAUGGACCGAACUUUCUUAAUCUUGAUUUCUUGCCUUAUGGUAGCACAGCUGCCCACCAUGUCUUCCAAGUAGUUAAGCAGCUCACCUUUUCCUAUCAAUGUACCUUUCAUUGAUUAAGGUGCUUUGCCUUUUAUGCGUUCAAAAUGAGAACUCAUAGAACUCACAUGCAUAAUUAACUCGAUUGGAUUGGCACAGAAUCAAAAUAAUGUCAACACGAUAGGUUGUAAACCUCAACUCGUGUGCUAGUGAUGAUCGAUAAGGUUUAUUUGAUUUGUUCUUGAAACCUUUCAAGACCAUUAAGACUCCCACUGACUCCUUGACAUAUAAGAUUCUCUUGUCAAUAACCAUUUCUUGACAAACAAAUAUUCAAGAGUUAGUGUAGCUUUUAUCAAAACACUUCAUAAAUUGGUCCUAGUUGGUCUUUGUCUUAUCCAAGACAUCACAACUUUCCACAUUUGAUGAAUGUUAUAAACCUUCUUAAUACUUAUCACUCAAUGUCACAAUCUUAACUCUAAGACUUGUUUUGGAACGAAGUAUGAUUGACUUCUUGAUUUAACCAUUUCUUCAAUUCUUGAUUCCUCUACUUAGACAUACAAUUGUACUAAGAUUCACUUAGAGGAUCAAUUGAGAUAUGGUUCUUAAUCAUUAAGACCUAUCAUAAAGC